AACGAACGCUGGCGGCGUGCUUAACACAUGCAAGUCGAACGCGAAAGGGACUUCGGUCCCGAGUAGAGUGGCGCACGGGUGAGUAACGCGUAAGUAAUCUACCCCUGUAUUCGGAAUACCCCACCGAAAGGUGAGCUAAUACCGGAUACGUUUAUCUUGAUGCGAAUGAUGAUAAAGAAAGGUGGCCUCUUCUUGAAAGCUACUGUACAGGGACGAGCUUGCGUACCAUUAGCUAGUUGGUAGGGUAAUGGCCUACCAAGGCGACGAUGGUUAGCGGGUCUGAGAGGAUGAUCCGCCACACUGGAACUGGAACACGGACCAGACUCCUACGGGAGGCAGCAGUGAGGAAUAUUGCGCAAUGGGGGCAACCCUGACGCAGCGACGCCGCGUGGAUGAUGAAGGCCCUUGGGUCGUAAAAUCCUGUCAGAUGGAAAGAAAUGCCACAGGGCUAAUAUCUUUGUGGUUUGACGGUACCAUCAAAGGAAGCACCGGCUAACUCCGUGCCAGCCGCCGCAGUAAGAC
rnacentral:rRNA from 1 species